rnacentral:misc_RNA from 1 species
UUUCCGUAGGUGAACCUGCGGAAGGAUCAUUAGUGAAUUGAAUAUGUUAGCGGACUUCUUCGGAGUCCCUAGCAUAAAUCAUAUCCAUAACACCUGUGAACUGUAAGGCUGUCUUGAAAACGAAAGUGAUUAGAGCGCCUGCCCAUUUUAUACAAACAUUAAAGUAACAAACGUAGUCUUAUUAUAAUCUAAUAAAACUUUCAACAACGGAUCUCUUGGCUCUC